rnacentral:misc_RNA from 1 species
GAUGAAGAACGCAGCGAAAUGCGAUAAGUAAUGUGAAUUGCAGAAUUCAGUGAAUCAUCGAAUCUUUGAACGCACAUUGCGCCCGCCAGUAUUCUGGCGGGCAUGCCUGUUCGAGCCUCAUUUCAACCAUCAAGCUCUGCUUGCGUUGGGGAUCCGCGGCUGCCCGCGGUCCCUCAAAACCAGUGGCGGGCUCGCUAGUCACACCGAGCGUAGUAACUUUACAUCGCUAUGGUCGUGCGGCGGGUGCUUGCCGUAAAACCCCCCAAUUUUUAAGGUUGACCUCGGAUCAGGUAGGAAUACCCGCUGAACUUAAGCAUAUCAAUAAGCGGAGGA